AGAGUUUGAUCCUGGCUCAGAAUCAACGCUGGCGGCGUGCCUAACACAUGCAAGUCGCACGAGAAAGGGUAGCAAUACCUGAGUACAGUGGCGCACGGGUGAGUAACACGUGAAUUAUCUACCUUCGAGUGGGGAAUAACUGGGAGAAAUCUCAGCUAAUACCGCAUAACACUUACGAGUCAAAGCAGCAAUGCGCUUGAAGAGGAGUUCGCGGCAGAUUAGUUAGUUGGCGGGGUAAUGGCCCACCAAGACGAUGAUCUGUAUCCGGCCUGAGAGGGCGCACGGACACACUGGAACUGAAACACGGUCCAGACUCCUACGGGAGGCAGCAGUGGGGAAUUUUGCGCAAUGGGGGAAACCCUGACGCAGCAACGCCGCGUGGAGGAUGAAAUCCCUUGGGAUGUAAACUCCUUUCGAUCGGGACGAUUAUGACGGUACCGGAAGAAGAAGCCCCGGCUAACUUCGUGCCAGCAGCCGCGGUAAUACGAGGGGGGCAAGCGUUGUUCGGAAUUAUUGGGCGUAAAGGGCGCGUAGGCGGUUUGACAAGUCUGAUGUGAAAUCUCUGGGCUCAACCCAGAGUCUGCAUUAGAAACUGUCGGGCUUGAGUAUGGGAGAGGUGAGUGGAAUUUCCGGUGUAGCGGUGAAAUGCGUAGAUAUCGGAAGGAACACCUGUGGCGAAAGCGGCUCACUGGACCAUAACUGACGCUGAUGCACGAAAGCUAGGGGAGCAAACAGGAUUAGAUACCCUAGUAGUCC
rnacentral:rRNA from 1 species